rnacentral:rRNA from 1 species
GAUGAACGCUGGCGGCGUGCCUAAUACAUGCAAGUCGAGGGAACAGAUGAGGAGCUUGCUCCUCUGACGUUAGCGGCGGACAGGGGAGUAACACGUGGAUAACCUACCUAUAAGACUGGGAUAACUUCGGGAAAACGGAGCUAAUACCGGAUAAUAUAUUGAACCGCAUGGUUCAAUAGUGAAAGACGGUUUUGCUGGCACGCGUAGAUGGAUCCGCGCCGCAUUCGCUAGUUGGUAAGGUAACGGCUUACCAAGGCAACGAUGCGUAGCCGACCUGAGCGGGUGAUCGGCCACACUAGACCUGAGACACGGUCCAGACUCCUACGCGAGGCAGCAGUAGGGAAUCUUCCGCAAUGGGCGGAAGCCUGGCGGAGCCCCGCCACGUGAGUGAUGAAGGUCUUCGGAUCUUAAAACUCUGCUAUUAGGGAAGAACAAAUGUGUAAGUAACUAUGCACGUCUUGACGGUACCUAAUCAGAAAGCCACGGCUAACUACGUG